UGGGGAAUAUUGCACAAUGGAGGGAACUCUGAUGCAGCGACGCCGCGUGAACGAAGAAGGCCUUCGAGUCGUAAAGUUCUUUUAUAUGGGAAGAUAAUGACGGUACCAUAAGAAGAAGCCCCGGCUAACUACGUGCCAGCAGCCGCGGUAAUACGUAGGGGGCUAGCGUUGUCCGGAAUCACUGGGCGUAAAGGGUUCGCAGGCGGAAAUGCAAGUCAGGUGUAAAAGGCAGUAGCUUAACUACUGUAAGCAUUUGAAACUGCAUAUCUUGAGAAGAGUAGAGGUAAGUGGAAUUUUUAGUGUAGCGGUGAAAUGCGUAGAUAUUAAAAAGAAUACCGGUGGCGAAGGCGACUUACUGGGCUCAUUCUGACGCUGAGGAACGAAAGCGUGGGUAGCAAACAGG
rnacentral:rRNA from 1 species